CAGGCAGAACUCCACACAAUACUGACACACCUACCCUGCUUCCUGAGCACUGAAGAACAGAGACAGACAGAUCAUCUCCUUCAGAGUUGUAAAGGGGUCAGGAGCCAGGCAAGGAGAGCCCGAACAAGAAGAGCAUUUUCCUGGGUUCUUCCAGCUGUUCUGCUCACUCCCGCCGUCAGUUCUGAGCAGGGAAGAGAGGCUGUCAACACAAAUAAGGCAUUUUUCAAAGGCGUAAAUUAUGAGUUCCCAAAACAAUGCGACAUCUCAACCACAUGGAGAAGUGGAGAGCCCCACAGCUGGAGCAGAUGUGGCUGGUUUUGGAGGUGAGUAGCAGACCAUACUAAGCAGCACCAUAAGAGAUAAAACAGCAGGUUUGUUGAUUUCUUGCAUUUUGCAAAACCCCUACUUUGCUGACAAGGCAACAGGA
rnacentral:lncRNA from 1 species